AUGGAAUCUGAACCAAACCAUCAAGAAAAGAAGAAGAACCUUUCUUCUUCACUUUCUCUCUCUCUAUUUUUCUCACUUAGAUCUAAUCUCCUCUGAUUUUUGGGCAUGGAGGUGAAGGAAGAAGGAAGGGUGGCGUUGAGAAGAAGUUGUGGUAAGAAAAAACUUUCCAUCAUUAUUAGCGCAUGCCCACCUUUCUUUCUUGAUUUUUAUCACAUAAAAAUUUAGUCCAACAUCCUUCCCUUUUAGACAUUAUCUCUUUCUU
rnacentral:lncRNA from 1 species